GACGAACGCUGGCGGCGUGCUUAACACAUGCAAGUCGAACGAGACGAUUGAAAGCUUGCUUUUGAAAGUCGAGUGGCAAACGGGUGAGUAACGCGUAGACAACCUGCCUUUGAGAUGGGGACAACAGUUCGAAAGGACUGCUAAUACCGAAUGUUGUAUAUUUUCCACAUGGAAGAUAUAUUAAAGAUGGCCUCUAUUUAUAAGCUAUCGCUCAAAGAUGGGUCUGCGUCUGAUUAGCUGGUUGGUGGGGUAACGGCCUACCAAGGCGACGAUCAGUAGCCGGUCUGAGAGGAUGAACGGCCACAUUGGGACUGAGACACGGCCCAGACUCCUACGGGAGGCAGCAGUGGGGAAUCUUCCACAAUGGACGAAAGUCUGAUGGAGCAACGCCGCGUGAGUGAAGAAGGGUUUCGGCUCGUAAAGCUCUGUUGUCGGGGACGAAUGUGCAGUAUUUGAAUAAAGUACUGCAAUGACGGUACCUGACGAGGAAGCCACGGCCAACUACGUGCCAGCCGCCGCAGUAA
rnacentral:rRNA from 1 species